rnacentral:misc_RNA from 1 species
UGAUUCAAAAAAACUCAAAAAAAUUUAAAAAAAUGUACAACUCUUCGCCCCUAAACUGUGCUUUUGAGCUUCCGUAGUGAAAAGUUUGCAAAACCUCACACCCAAUUUCAAAAUACACACAUUGAAAAUUCGCCAAAAAUCUCCGAAAAUUCUGCUAUAAAACUUCAAAACUUCAGAAAUACUUUAAACAUUUGCAGCGCUCCCAAGAAACUAAGCAAAAUACAACUCUAUUUCAGUUAGAAAAUUUACCUUUGCCCAACCGAGUGAGAAAAAAGCUAACAAACUUUCUACAGCGCGUUCUUCUUCUUGUUGUUGCUGUUAUUAUAUGCGAAACACGCGCGCAUCAAAGUUGAAAAGUGCAAUUGAAGUGUAAGCAGCGAAACUUUUGCGCCCACCCACGCAAGUUUUUUUAUUUAAACUAAACUAUAACUAAAUUACACGCCACACGUGUGUUUGCGCUAGUAUUGGUGUGCUCACGCGUACAUACUCGUACAUAUAUGUAUUAUACAUACGCAUGUUGCACUCACCUGCGCUGGCUGACGCUUUCGCUGCGCUGCGCUGCUCGCCUAUUUUGUGGAUAAUUAAACGCGUAAUUGUGCGGCACAAAAACCUUCAUUGUUGUCGUUGUUGUUGUUGUGUUUUAUAAAAGGACGUGAUUUUUCUACGCCGUUGACGGACUGAGUGUGUGAGCAGCAAAGAGUUGCGGAAUUGAGAAAUACACAAGUGAACGAAAACUUUUUGUUAACUGCGAGACUCGGCUGUUUGUGGAGUGUGUGCGUGUGCGUUUAGUAAAUAAAAUUGCUGAAGUUGCGAAAAAAAGCUAACAUCGUUUGAACUUUAAUAAAAAUAUAUUAAAAAUUAUAAUAACAGUUAUAUAACUGUAGCUUCUGUGGAAAACGGAAAAUAUAAUUGAAGGUAAAAAAAUAUACUAUAAUUGCCUCCUCAGCAUUGCAGCGCAUUUUCUCGUGUUGACUUCAGCUUUCUUUUUCAAAGCACGCUAGGACGGGUUUCCAAGUAGGAAACCCGCCAUAUAAUUGUCGUCAAAAUUUUUACAGACGGAAAUAAGCUUGGUCCUGCUGCCGCGGGAAGAGGCAUGUUCUGCUAUCAGUGUCCGCCGUCGCUGCAUCCAUGUGGACCGCAUCCAUCACGCUUGCCAACACUGGAGUAUCCGUUCGCAGCAACGCAUCCAUAUGCAAGUUACUCGUAUCAUCCUUCCAUACAUGAUGAGACAUUCGUGCGACGUAAGCAACGACGUAAUCGCACCACAUUCACAUUGCAACAGUUGGAAGAGUUGGAAACUGCCUUUGCGCAGACCCACUAUCCGGAUGUGUUCACACGUGAGGACCUGGCGAUGAAAAUAAAUCUGACGGAAGCGCGCGUUCAGGUUUGGUUUCAGAAUCGACGCGCAAAAUGGCGUAAAGCCGAACGCCUUAAGGAUGAGCAACGCAAGCGCGAGAAUGGCGAGAGUAGCGGUUCGCUGGACAAGUUGCACGACAGUCGCGAGUCCUCGCCUGACAUUACUGGCGAAAUCGACGAUGAUGAACCAUCGUUGCGUCGCUCGCACAGUCCCGGUCCGCCAUCGGCCAGUCCGCAUGCCAUUGACUCAGACAAUGAACGUCCGCUCUCGUCGACACAGCUUACCACACAAUCGGCUUCGCAAUCGGUCGGUUCGAUAAGCGCUGGUUCGCCUUCGCCCAGUGCGCGCGCCACGCCUCAACAUUGCCCCAAUAGUCCGACUUCGAAUUCCCGUCAUACCGAUUCGCCCAUCGAAGUUGGCGGUCCGAUUUCGUUGACCUCGCGUACAUCGUCCGGCACUACGCCCACAUCGGCGCUACACAGCACGCCCACUACUUUUGGUAGUCACAUUUUCGGGAAUUUCGGUGGUGAUAGCAAUUGCGGCUUUCGUCCGGUGCUCAACGACAACUCCGGCAGCGUGGUCGCUUCUGGUGCUGGCGCACAACGCAGCACCACCACCGCGCAUCCACCACUCUUUCUGCCGCCGCAUUUGGCCUCGCUGAGCUCACAGUUUACACAUCAACCACUCUUUCCCGGACUAAAAGGCGUCUCACCGUUUCCGGGUCUGUGCUCGUGCUGCUCGCUGAAACCGCCCCCACCACCACCUAGCGCCUCGUCGAUAGCUGCUGCAGCCGCCGCAGCUGCUGCUGCCUCUACCAGCUCCGCGUCCGGUGUGCCAAUUUCUUCUGCUGCGCCCUCCGCCAGCAGCUCACCCGACUCGCCAACCCACGUCACCUCGGUCCUAAGCCAGUCGGCGCAUAACAAUCACGAUGCACGUUCCAGCUCUGUAGCCGAAUUGCGUCGCAAGGCACAAGAACACUCUGCCGCGCUGCUGCAAUCACUACACGCCGCCGCCGCAGCUGGCUUGGCAUUUCCGGGUCUACACUUGCCACCGCUCUCGUUCCAUCAUCAUUCCGCCGCUGCGUUGAGCAAUGCGCACGCUGCCGCAGCCGCCGCUGUCGCAAAUAAUAACAACAAUCACAAUAAUAACAAUAACAAUAAUAAUGGUGUGCGGCUGAAAAGCGAGUCGGCUCAGGAUAUGACGGCGAGUACCAUGAAUGGCCUAUCGGCUGCAGCGGCAGCGGCCGCGGCGGCUGCCAACAAUCAUCACAGCAUUGCCAGUUUGACGCUGCUCGAUGCGCAGAACGCGGCGUAUCAUCAUCACCAGCAGCAGCAGCAGCAACAACAGCUAUCGCAGGCGGCUGCACUGCAUCUGCAACAACAACACCAGCAGCAGCAGCAACUGUCGCCGCCGAUAACGCCGACACACACGCCCACACUUCAUCGCCAGGACACGCCGCCCAAGUGCACAGCCAACGGUGCCGGUGGCGGUGCCGUCGCCAUAACGAAAAGUGAAUAAUUGUAGUCAGCGGUUCCCAAAUGUACUCAAAGCAGCAAAUAAGUGAAGUUUUAAUAUUAUAAUAAGUGAAAUGAUAAAAGCAAUAGAAAGUAUUGGUGGAAGCUGCCGCGCAAGAAGCCACUACUACAAUCACCAAUAAUAUUUACUAUAACUUUCUAAAUAUAUUGUAAAUCGAUAAUUAAUAUGCAUUUAU